rnacentral:rRNA from 1 species
CAGGGAGAGCGUCUCGGAUCAUUGACAACUAAAUAGGAGCAGCAACGUCCAAUUAAAGGGCCCUGAUCACGAAACACAGUAAUAAAAUGAAUCUGGAGAGUUUGAUCCUGGCUCAGAACGAACGCUGGCGGCGUGCCUAACACAUGCAAGUCCAACGUGAAAGGGGAGCAAUCCCCCGGUAGGGUGGCAAACGGGUGAGUAAUACAUGGGUGAUCUACCUUAGGGAUGGGGAUAUCCUUCCGAAAGGAGGGGCAAUACCGAAUAUUGUCCGGAGCCGUGAAGGGUUCCGGGGAAAGGGAGGCCUCUGAUACAAGCUUUCGCCUUAAGAUGAGCCCAUGGCCCAUCAGCUAGUUGGUAGGGUAAAGGCCUACCAAGGCUACGACGGGUCGCUGGUCUGAGAGGACGACC